CGGCUCAUCCCCUCCAAGCCCAUCCUCUCCAUACCCUUUAGUCUUAUAAAUUAAGAAUGAAAAUUUUCACCGCUCUAACUUCCUGCCCCAAAUUCCUUUCCUCUGUCAAAUUUGAAAUUUUUCAACCCUACCCGGCUAUCCCUACAUUCUCCUUACUCUGUUGUUUAUCGUUUCUGAUCCUCCCCAAAUGAUAGAUUUAUCAUCCCGCUUUUGUUCUCUACCACAUUUAACGACGGCAUCAUCUCAGCGGUAGUGGCUCAGCGAUGACAUUUUGGGUACUUCAUUUGUGGCCAAGGAUUCAAGUAUUGAAGCAACUGAAAAUCUAACAUUUGAAACUUCUAAAGUUUAACUAAAAACUUUGAUGUACUAUUUCAGGUCUUGAGAGGGAUCCACCUGAAGUAGUAGUGGAUAUCAGGUCUGAUGAGAAGUUUGUGAUAGAUUUGAAUUAAAGGGUUAUCAGAAAAAAAAACGUCUGAGGCGUCUGUAUUGAGGUGCGUCUCGAGGCAAGACGGGGAAAUCGUUUUUGAGGCGGCGCAUCGCUGGUUAAUUAUGUUGUAAAUCACAUGAAAACCCCCUGGAUCAUUUUGUCUUUUUAAAUGUUUCUAGUUAUAUUGUCUCAAAUAAUUCCACUCUCUAUAGUCGCAUACCCCAAUAGUAUUGACAAAAGAGAUCACUCUUGCAGUGUCAUUCUUGAUUCAUUUGAGCUUUGUUAAUUAGUUUCACUGGUAUAAUCGUUGUUUUUGUUCAUCACCGGUUCAUGAGAUGGAUUCCAAGAUUUUGAAGAACUAGAGGUAUGCAAGGAAGCACAUGAAAUAGAGUGGGAAAAUUUCUAUAGAAGAAUAUAUGUUUUCAGACUUUGACAGCUCUAGCAACUUCCUUUCAUGCGCUACAACCUUUGACAGAUUCUAUAUCUCGCUUUGUAUGGGUUAAGUUACUAAGUGACAUAAAAUUCCAGCCAAAACCAUGAGUAGAAAUGGUCAGAAGAGGUGGCCAUAGUUCCAACAUUUGAUGGUAGAAAUGUUUAACAGAGCCUUUCUUGAGGAACACUGAACUUGUAUCUUUACCAGAAUCAUACCAUCUGACAGACAUCAACAAAGCUUGGAGGCUCUGAUGUGGAGAGCUAUCAAACAACUAUCACUUGAAGAUCAAGACGAGUAGAAUAUUCUCUUUAUUAUUAGGAUGUUAUAUGUUGAUGUUAUAUAAUAACUAUUAGGAUGUUAUAUGUUGAUGGUCUAUUUAUAAAAUUGGUUUUAUAAUCUUAUUUGGGAU